AUUGAACGCUGGCGGCGUGCCUAACACAUGCAAGUCGAGCGGUAAGGCCCUUUCGGGGGUACACGAGCGGCGAACGGGUGAGUAACACGUGGGUGACCUGCCCUCAGCUCUGGGAUAAGCCUGGGAAACCGGGUCUAAUACUGGAUAUGACUCCAUGACGCAUGUUGUGGGGUGGAAAGCCUUGUGCGGCUGAGGAUGGGCCCGCGGCCUAUCAGCUUGUUGGUGGGGUGAUGGCCUACCAAGGCGACGACGGGUAGCCGGCCUGAGAGGGCGACCGGCCACACUGGGACUGAGACACGGCCCAGACUCCUACGGGAGGCAGCAGUGGGGAAUCUUGCGCAAUGGGCGAAAGCCUGACGCAGCGACGCCGCGUGAGGGAUGACGGCCUGGU
rnacentral:rRNA from 1 species